CAUGUCAGUGCAGGAAAUCAGUCCUGAGAUAUGAAUACUUUUACAUCAAAGACGUGUCUGAAGUUCUGAACUGUCGCCGAGGCUAAGAAACAUGGAUACUGUUAUUAGUACCAUGUAUACAUGGAGCUGAAUAACCAGGCUACACUAUGUGCCAAACCAGGAUAGUAGUGUGCAUGUUAACAUACUCACUGUCGGACUAGUCUGACUUGAA